rnacentral:rRNA from 1 species
CCUAGGGGGGGCAGCAGUAGGGAAUAUUGCUCAAUGGGGGAAACCCUGAAGCAGCAACGCCGCGUGGAGGAUGAAGGUUUUCGGAUUGUAAACGCCUUUUGUUAGAGAAGAGAAUGACGGUAUCUAACGAAUAAGCACCGGCUAACUCCGUGCCAGCAGCCGCGGUAAUACGGAGGGCGCAAGCGUUACUCGGAAGCACUGGGCGGAAAGAGCGCGUAGGCGGGAUAGCAAGUCAGAUGUGAAAUCCUAUGGCUUAACCCUAGAACUGCAGUUGAAACUGGUAUUCUAGAGUAUGGGAGAGGUAGGUGGAAUUCUUGGUGUAGUGGUGAAAUCCGUAGAGAUCAGGAGGAAUACUCAUUGCGAAGGCGACCUGCUAGAACAUAACUGACGCUGAUGCGCGAAAGCGUGGGGAGCAAACAGGAUUAGAUACCCCGGUAGUC